rnacentral:tRNA from 1 species
UGGGUUAUGACUCAGUGGUAGAGCGCUUGCCUAGCAUGCAUGAGGCACUGGGUUCAAUCCCCAGCACCACAU